CGCCUUUAGCUUGCUUAUUGAAGGUCCAGCCUGCCCAGUGAAUUAUUUUAACGGCCGCGGUAUUCUGAUCGUGCUAAGGUAGCAUAAUCCUUUGCCUUUUAAUUAAUGGCUAGUAUGAAUGGUUAGACGAACGUAAUAUUGUCUCAGAUAAGAGUUUUAUAAGCUAACAUUUAGGUGAAGAGGCCUAAACUAAUCAGGAGGACAAAAAGACCCUAUCGAGCUUAAUAUUUAUGUAUUAAUUUGUACUUAACUGUUUUGUUGGGGCAACAUAGGACCAGGAAAAUCGUCCUUAUGCAAGCCUGGUUUAAUAAACCAAAAAAAUCUAUAUUAUAUCCACUAAGACAUAGCUACCGUAGGGCUAACAGACUAAUCUUCUCCGAGAGCUCACAUUGACGAGAAGGCUUAGCACCUCGAUGUUGGCUUAGGGCACUCUUUAUAGAGGUAGCACUCUUAAAAGAAGGUUUGUUCACCCUUUAAUCCCCUA
rnacentral:rRNA from 1 species